rnacentral:rRNA from 1 species
UGGGGAAUAUUGGACAAUGGGGGAAACCCUGAUCCAGCAAUGCCGCGUGAGUGAAGAAGGCCUUAGGGUUGUAAAGCUCUUUCGCCCGCAAAGAUAAUGACGGUAGCGGGAGAAGAAGCCCCGGCUAACUCCGUGCCAGCAGCCGCGGUAAUACGGAGGGGGCUAGCGUUGUUCGGAAUUACUGGGCGUAAAGCGUACGUAGGCGGAUGCGCAAGUUGGGGGUGAAAUCCCGGGGCUUAACCUCGGAAUUGCCCUCAAAACUGCACAUCUUGAGACCGAGAGAGGUAAGGGGAAUUCCUAGUGUAGAGGUGAAAUUCGUAGAUAUUAGGAAGAACACCAGUGGCGAAGGCGCCUUACUGGCUCGGUACUGACGCUGAGGUACGAAAGCGUGGGGAGCAAACA